rnacentral:rRNA from 1 species
GGGGAGCAAUCCCUGAGUAGAGUGGCAAACGGGUGAGUAACACGUGGGUGACCUGCCUCAGAGUGGGGGAUAACGUCCCGAAAGGGACGCUAAUACCGCAUAACAUCCUGCCUUUGGAAAGGUGGAGAUCAAAGCCGGGGAUCGCAAGACCUGGCGCUUGGAGAGGGGCCCGCGUCUGAUUAGCUAGUUGGUAGGGUAAUGGCCUACCAAGGCAACGAUCAGUAUCCGGCCUGAGAGGGCGGACGGACACACUGGGACUGAGACACGGCCCAGACUCCUACGGGAGGCAGCAGUGGGGAAUUGUUCGCAAUGGGCGCAAGCCUGACGACGCAACGCCGCGUGGAGGAUGAAGAUCUUCGGGUCGUAAACUCCUGUCGAGCGGGACGAACACUUAUCCGGUUAACACCUGGAUAGGCUGACGGUACCGCUAAAGGAAGCCCCGGCUAACUCCGUGCCAGCAGCCGCGGUAAUACGGGGGGGGCAAGCGUUGUUCGGAAUUACUGGGCGUAAAGGGCUCGUAGGCGGCCAACUAAGUCGGACGUGAAAUCCCCAGGCUCAACCUGGGAACUGCGUCCGAUACUGGAUGGCUUGAAUCCGGGAGAGGGAUGCAGAAUUCCAGGUGUAGCGGUGAAAUGCGUAGAUAUCUGGAGGAAUACCGGUGGCGAAGGCGGCAUCCUGGACCGGCGUUGACGCUGAGGAGCGAAAGCCAGGGGAGCAAACGGGAUUAGAUACCCCGGUAGUCCUGGCCCUAAACGAUGAAUGCUUGGUGUAACGGGUAUCGAUCCCUGUUGUG